UACGUAGGGGGCAAGCGUUGUCCGGAAUCAUUGGGCGUAAAGAGCGCGUAGGCGGCCCUGUAAGUCCGCUGUGAAAGUCAAGGGCUCAACCCUUGAAUGCCGGUGGAUACUGCAGGGCUAGAGUCCGGAAGAGGCGAGUGGAAUUCCGGGUGUAGCGGUGGAAUGCGUAGAGAUCCGGAAGAACACCGGUGGCGAAGGCGGCCCGCUGGGCAGUGGCUGACGCUGAGGCGCGACAGCGUGGGGAGCAAACAGG
rnacentral:rRNA from 1 species